GAUCAUGGCUCAGGACGAACGCUGGCGGCGUGCCUAAUACAUGCAAGUCGAACGCAUUUUCUUUCACCGUAGCUUGCUACACCGAAAGAAAAUGAGUGGCGAACGGGUGAGUAACACGUGGGUAACCUGCCCAUCAGCGGGGGAUAACACUUGGAAACAGGUGCUAAUACCGCAUAAUUCCAUUUACUGCAUGGUAGAUGGAUGAAAGGCGCUUUUGCGUCACUGAUGGAUGGACCCG
rnacentral:rRNA from 1 species